rnacentral:misc_RNA from 1 species
GUGUUACCCGGUACCAACCCAUUUCGGGGAGGUUACCCUGUAGCUACCCUGUAGUUCCUCAAAUCCAACGGCGGAGUCAUAGUCAUCUCUGAGCGCAGUAAUUUUUAUCACGCUUUUGAAGAUGCUAUAGCCCUUGCCGCUAAACCCCCAAUUUUUUAAUGGUUGACCUCGGAUCAGGUAGGAAUACCCGCUGAACUUAA